AGUGAACGCUGGCGGUAUGCCUAACACAUGCAAGUCGAACGGCAGCACAGUAAGCUCUUGCUCUUACGGGUGGCGAGUGGCGGACGGGUGAGGAAUACAUCGGAAUCUACUUUUUCGUGGGGGAUAACGUAGGGACACUUACGCUAAUACCGCAUACGACCUACGGGUGAAAGCAGGGGAUCUUCGGACCUUGCGCGAUUGAAUGAGCCGAUGUCGGAUUAGCUAGUUGGCGGGGUAAAGGCCCACCAAGGCGACGAUCCGUAGCUGGUCUGAGAGGAUGAUCGGCCACACUGGAACUGAGACACGGUCCAGACUCCUACGGGAGGCAGCAGUGGGGAAUAUUGGACAAUGGGCGAAAGCCUGAUCCAGCCAUCCCGCGUGGGUGAAGAAGGCCUUCGGGUUGUAAAGCCCUUUUGUUGGGAAAGAAAAGCAGCAGGUUAAUACCCCGAUGUUCUGACGGUACCUAAAGAAUAAGCACCGGCUAACUUCGUG
rnacentral:rRNA from 1 species